rnacentral:rRNA from 1 species
GACUCUCGACAACGGAUAUCUUGGUUGUCGCAUCGAUGAAGAACAUAGCGAAAUAUGAUACUAGGUGUGAAUUGCAGAAUCCCGUGAACCGUUGAGUCUUUAAGCGUAAGUUGCGCCUCAAGCUAUUAGGCCGAGAGCACGUCUACCUGGGUGUCA